AAGGAAUAUUGGACAAUGGGCGCAAGCCUGAUCCAGCCAUCCCGCGUGCAGGAUGAAUGCCCUACGGGUUGUAAACUGCUUUUGAAGGGGAAGAAACCCCUGCUUUCAAGCGGGGCUGACGGUACCUUUCGAAUAAGCACCGGCUAACUCCGUGCCAGCAGCCGCGGUAAUACGGAGGGUGCAAGCGUUAUCCGGAAUCACUGGGUUUAAAGGGUGCGUAGGCGGCUUGGUAAGUCAGGGGUGAAAGCCUCCCGCUCAACGGGAGGACUGCCUUUGAUACUGCCGGGCUUGAAUCAGGCCGAGGGCAGCGGAAUGUGGCAUGUAGCGGUGAAAUGCAUAGAUAUGCCAUAGAACACCGAUUGCGAAGGCAGCUGCCUGGGCCUGGAUUGACGCUGAGGCACGAAAGCGUGGGGAGCGAAC
rnacentral:rRNA from 1 species